AUAUCAUGGUGUGAGCAUUUUCUUAACGUUGAUUUUAAUCUUUCCCAAGCUUGACAAACUGACUCAGUAUCAGUCUAUAAGAAAUUAGAUAUUUCUUGCCUUAACUU
rnacentral:snoRNA from 1 species